GAAGGUGUGCUGUGAGGCAUGCUGGAGGUAUCAGAAGUGCGAAUGCUGACAUAAGUAACGAUAAAGCGGGUGAAAAGCCCGCUCGCCGGAAGACCAAGGGUUCCUGUCCAACGUUAAUCGGGGCAGGGUGAGUCGACCCCUAAGGCGAGGCCGAAAGGCGUAGUCGAUGGGAAACAGGUUAAUAUUCCUGUACUUGGUGUUACUGCGAAGGGGGGACGGAGAAGGCUAUGUUGGCCGGGCGACGGUUGUCCCGGUUUAAGCGUGUAGGCUGGUUUUCCAGGCAAAUCCGGAAAAUCAAGGCUGAGGCGUGAUGACGAGGCACUACGGUGCUGAAGCAACAAAUGCCCUGCUUCCAGGAAAAGCCUCUAAGCAUCAGGUAACAUCAAAUCGUACCCCAAACCGACACAGGUGGUCAGGUAGAGAAUACCAAGGCGCUUGAGAGAACUCGGGUGAAGGAACUAGGCAAAAUGGUGCCGUAACUUCGGGAGAAGGCACGCUGAUAUGUAGGUGAAGUCCCUCGCGGAUGGAGCUGAAAUCAGUCGAAGAUACCAGCUGGCUGCAACUGUUUAUUAAAAACACAGCACUGUGCAAACACGAAAGUGGACGUAUACGGUGUGACGCCUGCCCGGUGCCGGAAGGUUAAUUGAUGGGGUCAGCGCAAGCGAAGCUCUUGAUCGAAGCCCCGGUAAACGGCGGCCGUAACUAUAACGGUCCUAAGGUAGCGAAAUUCCUUGUCGGGUAAGUUCCGACCUGCACGAAUGGCGUAAUGAUGGCCAGGCUGUCUCCACCCGAGACUCAGUGAAAUUGAACUCGCUGUGAAGAUGCAGUGUACCCGCGGCAAGACGGAAAGACCCCGUGAACCUUUACUAUAGCUUGACACUGAACAUUGAGCCUUGAUGUGUAGGAUAGGUGGGAGGCUUUGAAGUGUGGACGCCAGUCUGCAUGGAGCCGACCUUGAAAUACCACCCUUUAAUGUUUGAUGUUCUAACGUUGACCCGUAAUCCGGGUUGCGGACAGUGUCUGGUGGGUAGUUUGACUGGGGCGGUCUCCUCCUAAAGAGUAACGGAGGAGCACGAAGGUUGGCUAAUCCUGGUCGGACAUCAGGAGGUUAGUGCAAUGGCAUAAGCCAGCUUGACUGCGAGCGUGACGGCGCGAGCAGGUGCGAAAGCAGGUCAUAGUGAUCCGGUGGUUCUGAAUGGAAGGGCCAUCGCUCAACGGAUAAAAGGUACUCCGGGGAUAACAGGCUGAUACCGCCCAAGAGUUCAUAUCGACGGCGGUGUUUGGCACCUCGAUGUCGGCUCAUCACAUCCUGGGGCUGAAGUAGGUCCCAAGGGUAUGGCUGUUCGCCAUUUAAAGUGGUACGCGAGCUGGGUUUAGAACGUCGUGAGACAGUUCGGUCCCUAUCUGCCGUGGGCGCUGGAGAACUGAGGGGGGCUGCUCCUAGUACGAGAGGACCGGAGUGGACGCAUCACUGGUGUUCGGGUUGUCAUGCCAAUGGCACUGCCCGGUAGCUAAAUGCGGAAGAGAUAAGUGCUGAAAGCAUCUAAGCACGAAACUUGCCCCGAGAUGAGUUCUCCCUGACUCCUUGAGAGUCCUGAAGGAACGUUGAAGACGACGACGUUGAUAGGCCGGGUGUGUAAGCGCAGCGAUGCGUUGAGCUAACCGGUACUAAUGAACCGUGAGGCUUAACCUU
rnacentral:rRNA from 1 species